AAAGGUUGACCUCGGAUCAGGUAGGAA
rnacentral:rRNA from 1 species